CCCUUAGAUGUUCUGGGCCGCACGCGCGCUACACUGAUGCAUUCAACGAGUCUAAAACCUGCUCUGAUAGGGGUGGGUAAUCUUUUGAAUGUGCAUCGUGAUUGGGAUGGAUGAUUGCAAUUUUUCAUCUUCAACGAGGAAUGCCUAGUAAACGCAAGUCAUCAGCUUGCAUUGAUUACGUCCCUGCCCUUUGUACACACCGCCCGUCGCUCCUACCGAUUGAAUGAUCCGAUGAAUAUCAUGGAUUGAGGAUGUAAGCAGGUUCGCCUGUCUUCAUCUUCGAGAAGUGAAGUAAAUCUUAUCAUUUAGAGGAAGGAGAAGUCGUAACA
rnacentral:rRNA from 1 species